CCAACGCGGAUACCCCUUGGAAGUCACUCUCCUCGGGCUCUGUCCACGUGGCGCAGGGGAGCAUAGGGCCCUGCCCAGUGAUGUAAAGUCCCUUUCCACAACGUUGGACAUGAAGCUGGGCCUUGAGCCUACGCCUGCAUAUUCCUACAACUUCUCAGAGUCCUGUGGACAAUGACUGAGGAGACAAACCAUGCAGGAAACAGCC
ensembl:snoRNA SNORA73 Small nucleolar RNA SNORA73 family